rnacentral:rRNA from 1 species
ACUUAAAUUGAAGAGUUUGAUCAUGGCUCAGAUUGAACGCUGGCGGCAGGCCUAACACAUGCAAGUCGAGCGGUAGCACAGAGAGCUUGCUCUCGGGUGACGAGCGGCGGACGGGUGAGUAAUGUCUGGGAAACUGCCUGAUGGAGGGGGAUAACUACUGGAAACGGUAGCUAAUACCGCAUAAUGUCGCAAGACCAAAGUGGGGGACCUUCGGGCCUCAUGCCAUCAGAUGUGCCCAGAUGGGAUUAGCUAGUAGGUGGGGUAACGGCUCACCUAGGCGACGAUCCCUAGCUGGUCUGAGAGGAUGACCAGCCACACUGGAACUGAGACACGGUCCAGACUCCUACGGGAGGCAGCAGUGGGGAAUAUUGCACAAUGGGCGCAAGCCUGAUGCAGCCAUGCCGCGUGUGUGAAGAAGGCCUUGGGGUUUUAAAGCACUUGCAGCGGGGAGAAAGGCG